rnacentral:rRNA from 1 species
UACGGGGGGGGUAAGCGUUGUUCGGAGUUACUGGGCGUAAAGGGCUCGUAGGCGGCCAACUAAGUCAUACGUGAAAUCCCUCAGCUUAACUGGGGAACUGCGUGUGAUACUGGAUGGCUUGGAUUUGGGAGAGGGAUGCGGAAUUCCAGGUGUAGCGGUGAAAUGCGUAGAUAUCUGGAGGAACACCGGUGGCGAAGGCGGCAUCCUGGACCAAUAUUGACGCUGAGGAGCGAAAGCCAGGGGAGCAAACGGG